CGGCCUUGAAAUACCACCCUUUAAUGUUUGAUGUUCUAACGUGGACCCGUGAUCCGGGUUGCGGACAGUGUCUGGUGGGUAGUUUGACUGGGGCGGUCUCCUCCUAAAGAGUAACGGAGGAGCACGAAGGUUGGCUAAUCCUGGUCGGACAUCAGGAGGUUAGUGCAAUGGCAUAAGCCAGCUUGACUGCGAGCGUGACGGCGCGAGCAGGUGCGAAAGCAGGUCAUAGUGAUCCGGUGGUUCUGAAUGGAAGGGCCAUCGCUCAACGGAUAAAAGGUACUCCGGGGAUAACAGGCUGAUACCGCCCAAGAGUUCAUAUCGACGGCGGUGUUUGGCACCUCGAUGUCGGCUCAUCACAUCCUGGGGCUGAAGUAGGUCCCAAGGGUAUGGCUGUUCGCCAUUUAAAGUGGUACGCGAGCUGGGUUUAGAACGUCGUGAGACAGUUCGGUCCCUAUCUGCCGUGGGCGCUGGAGAACUGAGGGGGGCUGCUCCUAGUACGAGAGGACCGGAGUGGACGCAUCACUGGUGUUCGGGUUGUCAUGCCAAUGGCACUGCCCGGUAGCUAAAUGCGGAAGAGAUAAGUGCUGAAAGCAUCUAAGCACGAAACUUGCCCCGAGAUG
rnacentral:rRNA from 1 species